rnacentral:rRNA from 1 species
GACGAACGCUGGCGGCGUGCUUAACACAUGCAAGUCGAACGGAAAGGCCUGCUUUCCCUUGUGGAUUGCGGGUACUCGAGUGGCGAACGGGUGAGUAACACGUGAGUGAUCUGCCCCCAACUUGGGUAUAAGCCUGGGAAACUGGGUCUAAUUCCCGAUAGGACUGCAGGGUGGUGCCUGUGGUGGAAAACGAUUUUCUAGUGGUUGGGGAUGAGCUCGCGGCCUAUCAGCUUGUUGGUGGGGUAAUGGCCUACCAAGGCGGCGACGGGUAGCCGGCCUGAGAGGGUGGACGGCCACAUUGGGACUGAGAUACGGCCCAGACUCCUACGGGAGGCAGCAGUGGGGAAUAUUGCACAAUGGGCGGAAGCCUGAUGCAGCGACGCCGCGGGGGGGAUGACGGCCUUCGGGUUGUAAACUCCUUUCGGCCGCGAGGAAGCCACCUGGUUGGAAGGGUGGUGACGGUAGUGGUAGAAGAAGCACCGGCUAACUACGUG